AAAGAGAAAGAGAGAGAGAAAGAAAGAAAGAAGAAUAAAAGAUGAGAAAUUAAUCGGACGCGCAGACCGAACGAUAUCGAAUGGAAGCUCGCAUAGGAACUGAGGACAGAUCGGGACCAGAGGCCCGUUUCUCCCUACUCGAUGCCCACCACCAUCUUUCGUACAUAAGUCAAGAAGCGCCUCUCUAAUAUUGAACGACGACGGUGGGGCACCUUUCUCUAUACUCAUGGGGUUAACACGAAAACUUACUGGCAUAUAUUUAUGUAUAUAAAGAACAGAUAGGACCGGACGUAUAUGUGCAGAUAGUGUUAUUGCUGUUCAAGUACCAUAGAAGACAGAUCAACGUUCGCGCAGGCGGCAGAGAAACUAAGCGAGAAGGAUUUGGCGAACGUUCAAGUGCCGUCAAGAUUCAAGACGCGUGUCCCACUUGGCAACUUUCACUUACGUUGCCGUAAGAGGUACAAAUAACUACCCAAGAGUUUCGAAUAUGAUGGAAAGAGAAUCUUCCUAUUUUUCGAGGUUCUUUUUUUUUCAUUUACAACGGACCUAUCAUUGACGAGAAGAUUUAUCUAAA